GUGAAUCAUCGAAUCUUUGAACGCAAAUUGCACUCUCUUCGGAGAGUAUGCCUGUUUGAGGGCCAGCCUAAAAAAAAUCGACAUCGUUGCGGUUGGGCGGGGGCGUUCGUCGUAAAUGGGGUUAUCUUAAAUCUUGUGUUUAUGCGACUUAAAUUUUUCUUUACGAUUCCAUGUACGUUUCCAAGAUUUAUUUCUUUAC
rnacentral:misc_RNA from 1 species